rnacentral:rRNA from 1 species
AUACGUAGGGUGCAAGCGUUAAUCGGAAUUACUGGGCGUAAAGCGUGCGCAGGCGGUUUUGUAAGACAGAGGUGAAAUCCCCGGGCUUAACCUGGGAACUGCCUUUGUGACUGCAAGGCUAGAGGACGGCAGAGGGGGAUGGAAUUCCGCGUGUAGCAGUGAAAUGCGUACAUAUGCGGAGGAACACCGAAGGCGAAGGCAAUCCCCUGGGCCUGUACUGACGCUCAUGCACGAAAGCGUGGGGAGCAAACAGGAUUAGAUACCCUGGUAGUCCACGCCCUAAACGAUGUCAACUGGUUGUUGGGUCUUCAUUGACUCAGUAACGAAGCUAACGCGUGAAGUUGACCGCCUGGGGAGUACGGCCGCAAGGUUGAAACUCAAAUGAAUUGGCGGGG